UACGGGGGGAGCAAGCGUUGUUCGGAUUUACUGGGCGUAAAGGGCGCGUAGGCGGUCAGCACAAGUCAGUUGUGAAAUCUCCGGGCUUAACUCGGAAAGGUCAACUGAUACUGUGCGACUAGAGUGCAGAAGGGGCAACUGGAAUUCUCGGUGUAGCGGUGAAAUGCGCAGAUAUCAGGAGGAACACCAGCGGCGAAGGCGGCGCUCUGGGCCGGUACUGACACUGAGGAGCGAAAGCGUGGGUAGCAAACAGG
rnacentral:rRNA from 1 species